UACGGGGGGGGUAAGCGUUGUUCGGAAUUACUGGGCGUAAAGGGCUCGUAGGCGGCCAACUAAGUCAGACGUGAAAUCCCUCAGCUUAACUGGGGAACUGCGUCUGAUACUGGAUGGCUUGGAUUCGGGAGAGGAAUGCGGAAUUCCAGGUGUAGCGGUGAAAUGCGUAGAUAUCAGGAGGAACACCGGUGGCGAAGGCGGGUCUCUGGGCCGAUACUGACGCUGAGGAGCGAAAGCGUGGGGAGCGAACAGG
rnacentral:rRNA from 1 species